GUAUCAUCAGGGAUGCUCUUGUUUCACAUGGAAGGCAUUAUCUUCUAAAUAACUGCAUGUGAGUGUUGCAAAUGUGUACAUGUAGCACUGCUGAUAUUAGCAUUUUGCUCAAAAGCUGCGCCUGAAGCACAGCUGCUAGCCCGCCUGCAGACUCUUGUAAUUGUAUGUGAAGUAGUGUAAAAAAGAGGAGAGAGCACGGGCAGCAAAGAAUGGAUUCUGUGCUUCUACAUAAUCCACGCAGGUGUCACUGCAAAGGGCCUGUGUUGUUGUUCAUGCAUUCAUCAAGCGUGGGAUUGAAAUAGCCAAUAAGGUGGGCUCAGCUCUGAUUUAUAGAGCAAUACAUGGUUUGAAAUGUCUUCAUUAACAGACAAGCAGGUGGGGGCUAAUUAUAAUGAGGACUACUUAAUUAUGAGAUUUUCAUGUCAGAUCCUCCAGCUCUAUCUGUAUCUUUCUGUUUCUAAAUUAGGGCUGGGCGAUAUGGGAAAAAGUUAAUAUCAGUCAAUCUUAAUCUUAAACAUUCCCUGUUACUCUUAAAUGAAAUUUAACAGUGCUUACUGGAAGCAUGUCUUUUGCAAUACAAUAAGCUACUGCAUCUGUGAUGUCUUUGUGUCUCUUCGACGUUUUGUCGUAAGGCGUUGCGCUAGAGAAAGCAGACUGAAUGGUCGGCUGCUUCGGCUGUACAGGCGCCAUGGGCUCCUUUCUCCGCUCGGGGUUUGUAACCUUUCGCAUUGCGCAUGCUCUUCUGCGUGGCAUGGCUUCAGGUGGUGAAAAAGAUUUGAGGUAUUCCCCGACUUUGCAAGAACAUGCACUCGAUAUAAUUUGCAGUGCACAUUACUUUAACAGUGCUUACUGGAAGCAUGUCUUUUGCAAUACAAUAAGCUACUACAUCUGUGACGUCUUUGUGUCUCUUCGUUGUUUUGUCAUAAGUGCUGUCGGUUUCACAUGUCAGAGUGCUAUGGUUGUGUGUAGCUGCAGCCUGCUACUACAGUUGUUUGCUACUUGGUUCUAAUUCAGCACGAUUGGUUCAGCGUGAAGCGGACCCGGAGCAACUCCCCUUUUCAUUAAAUUAAAUUUUGAUAUAUAUCGUUAUCGUUUUAUCGUUCAGCCCUUUUGUAAAUACAAAAAAAUACUGAGUUAAAGAUAAAAAGUGGUGAAACAGCGGAAACUUGAUAUAAAGACUAGAAGACAAUCCUCAGAGCAUUUGAUGUGUAUUUUUGAGUGUGUUCUUAUCAUGGUAGCUGACUUCCUUCACUAUCACCCAUGAGGACUUUUUUCUUAAUGCGUCUGUGUCUAAGAGAAAUUGUUUCAGUUCAGUAAAAUGAGUAAAGGUAGAGUCUCUAAUGAGCUCUUGAGGGAGGGAAUGAUGAGUACAGCUUGAGAAGGAUGAAUGUGAAUAAAUUAAGAAUGAAGCAGAACAGUCUAUUUGGCUGGAUAUUGGCCAAUAAAGUUAAAGCUGCUUAGAUGACUCCAUGUGGUUCUAGUCUUUUGGUGAGCAAAUUAAUGGUCCAAACAGCCAGGGGUCAUACUGUUGUUUUGGGGUUUUUUUUAUGAGCACAUAUUUGGCAAUAUUUGGAUCAUUCUGGUCUUUUCUAUGACGGCUCCAUAUCCAGAAUAAAUUUAUUUUCUGGACGAUCUCUUCAAGCCCACUGACAUUUUGACAGGCGAAGCUAUGAGUCAUGGAAGAUGUCACCACCCAUACAUCCAGCCAACACACCCGCAGCCAGUCUGCUUAUUGAUGUGACACCUGCAGCACUUACAGUACUGCAGAGGCUGCUCAUUUUAAUGCGGUUUUGCUGUUUACUGAGAUGUUAGUCACACGCUAAUGGAUGACUGCUCUGCACAGUUGAUGCUGUUGGAAAAUGAAACAGCCCCAAGAUUCCCAGUUAAACAGUUUUGUAGGACUCCAAACUUGUAAUUUAUCUGUUGUAUGCUUCAUCACUGUGCAUAGGGAUUGCAGUUUUAAGUGUUUACUUGGUAAUUGUUGUUGCCAAGGUCUAAGCUGUUGUAGACUCAUUUUUAAAGCUUAGUCACGUCAUGUGGCAGAGUUGAAUAACAAAAAAAGGACCCAAAUUCAGAACAAAAAAUGAUUUAUUAAAAAGAACAAAAUUAAAAGCAACAAAAAACUUACACAAGAAGUAAAAUCCAAACAAAAGACACUGGGGGAAAAAAACACCAGGAGACGAAGUAUUCACACAUAAAAGAUUACAGGGAACAGGCUGACAUGCACACACAUUGACAUACAAUGAACCAACAAGGACAGGGGGGAAGACAGGGACUAUGUAACGAGCAAAAGGUGAGGCAGACGAGACACAGGUGAAACUCAUAAGUGAUUAACGAGGGAGGGAAAACUAGGGAAGCAAAGCCAGACUAGAAACACAAGGAAUCAACUACUACAAAAUAAAAUGGGAAACAGUGAGAACACGAGGGGAAAUGGGGUCAAACACAUGAAAACUCACAAGACUGGAUCACAGGAACAAUAGGGAACAGAGACACAAGGAAAAACACAAAGAAAAUUACAAAAUGGGAUUAGGGCAACAAGAAAGGAAGAAAAUAUUUACAGGAGGGAGAUUUUUUAAUUAAUUUCCAUUUCAAGAUUAAAGUUGAAAUUUUGAGAUAAAAGUUGAAAUUUUAAAAAGUUGAAAUUUUGAUUUUGAUUUUAUUCAGGUCGACUUUAAUCUUGAAAUUUCAACUUUAAUCUCAAAAUUUCUACAUUAUUCUUGACAUUUGUUAUUUUGAAAUUUUGACUUAAUCUCAAUGUUUCAAUUUUUAAUCCCAAAAUUUUGACUUUUAUCUCGAAAUUUUGAUUUGUCUCAAAUUUAAAUUUUUUAAAUCUUGAAAUUUCUACAUUAUUCAUGACAUUUUGUAAUAUUGAAAUUUCACAUUUAACCUCAAAAUUUUAAUUUUUUCAUCUCAAAAUUUCCGCAUAAUUGUUAAUAUUUUGUCAUAUAGAAAUUUCAAUUUAAAUCUCAAAAUAUAAAUUUUUAAUCUUGGAACUUUGACUUUUAUCUUGAAAUUGUAAUUAUUUUAAUCUUAAAAUUAUUCACAACAUUUCAACAUGAAAUUGAAAUUUCAACUUUCACAAUUGUAAUAUUUUUUUUCCCUCUUCAUGUGGCCCUAAUCCUCUUUCUUAGAAAAUACACUCAAAUAACAAAACCAGGGAAAAACUAAAUUAACGGAACAUAUCAUGACAAGCCAUGUCAUAUAAUAACACACAAAGAGUUAAAAGCCACCAAGAUACACUUAACUAACAUAUAUUAAUGAGAAUUAAUGAUCUUGGUUUUAGCAGCUAUCAUUACAUUCAUUUUUCUGCAUCACACAAUCAAAACAUUCAUAUUAUCUUCUUGUGAAGGCGUAACAGCUGUGUAGGACGACAUCUGAAUCAAAUAUUUCCAUAUAUAUGACUUAAUAGGUAAUCUUUUUAAAGGUCAGGAGAUAUAUCCUUACUUAAUAAAGAACUUUGAGUGCAAUGCUCAAUCCUCGUUUUUGACUGAUAGUGCCAGCAGCUUAUGCAAACACCUCAGAACCAUCUUCUUUUAUUUUUAUUAAACUGCUGUUACAUGCAGUCCCAAGUGCUGCAAAGCUACGGGAAUUUAUUCAGCAACAACAAUACGGGACUCUCUAGAGCAAAACCGCUAAAGCUGUGGAAGUUUUGCAGUUCAUUUUGUUUUCAUCAGGGACGUAAUUACUCCCAGACAGUUUUCUAAACCGUAAAACAUAACUUUUUGGGCAUCAUUUGUGGAUAAAUUUAAAAAACUAUUUAACUAUCUGGAAAGCUAGUGGAGUAGUUUGGUGUUUAUCUAAUUAUAAUAAUGAUUUUCAGACACAAAGCUGCUUUUUCUCACACUAUCUGCUGUGGCUGUUCUUCAUCCAUAUUUUAUCUCCCAUAUAAACAUAACAAAAGAUAUGAAGCAACAGCACAGAGGGUGUUUACCAACCUUUAGUACCAGACCUCUGCAGGGAAUGAAAAUUUAAUGGGACAGUGUUGCUGCAUAUUCCUCUCCCUCCCCUGGAUUGUCAUCAUGAGUAUUGAUUUAUAUGUGUUAAUGCAAACUAGCUCCAUUAAACAACUCAGCUGUGAAGAGGCAUGACUGUGAAGGCUGGAUCAAUAUAAACUAUUCACAAAAUCAUUCAAACGGUUUAUUAACAGGUGAGGUCAAGCAGCUCCAUUCAGUCCAAAGUAUGUUUAUUUUAUGGCUGUAUUUUAGGAGUCUCUCUUACUGGUAGUGAGUUGUAGAAGUGUUUCAUCCACAUCCAAUGCCUACAGGUGCAUAAAACCGACGCAACAACAGCAGUUUUAGACUUUGCACUACCAUAAGGUGCCACCUUUGCUACCAAUCUAUGACAGAGAGUCUGAAAGAUUUAUGUUGACGGAUUUUAAAGUUAAUGAUCUGGUUUUUGGUCCUUUAGGUCUAUCAGAAUCUGCAAGGCAUUUUUAACUAAUGUAACAGUAGAAGCCCUUUGUUGUUCUAGCAUGAUAAAGACUUGGAAACACUGUAAAAACAAACAAACUAUUUUUUCUCCAAUGUAUCCAUCUCAAAAUUUCUCAUUACGCUCUCGAUAAUAACUCCUCCCAUUAGUGGCCUCUGGGGACAAGCAGCUGCUGUGGUGCAUGAUAAUUAGGUCCUCUAUUGAUCAAGUUAUUACCAACACAAACAUCUGUCAAUACAGAUUUGUGCACAGCAACUACCUGUCUACUUCUUGUUGUUCAUUGUCUUCCUACUUGUGUUUUAUUUCACAGUCACCCACUAAGGUCGUGUUCACACCUAAAGGUCCGUUUCCUGAUCCGAAUCCAAAGCAAGACGAUACAUUUGUUUUGAUUGUUGAACUGAUCCGGUUUGCAUUCACAAAGGACAAACUCAAUUGCUCCAGAAAUCGGAACCAGAAGUCACGUGACCGCAAGUAUCGUUCGGUUAUUGGUCAUUAGUUACCGUAAGACUGGUUUGUGCUCAAACAGCCUAUGGGCGUAUGAAGAACCAAGUUGUCCAUAGCAUAAUGGCGGAACCAAGUUGUCCAUAGUAUAUACAGUCUAAGGUUCAGAUACAGUGAGUUUUCCUACACUGCAAAUCCAAGCUCAGCUUGUAAGAAAGCUAAUUAUGAUAUUAGCUUUCAUCAUGCUUCUAAAGACUUCAGUAUCCGAGAGCUGAAUAGCUUCUAUGUUACCUUCUUCUUCUACUUAACCAGCAAUGUUAGUCUGCUAGCUAACAUCAAGAGAAGUGUGCACGACUCAGAGGUUAAUUGCUAAUGAGCUCCUGGAGCUCUGCAGAAAAAAAACGCUUGGAAAUGACACGGGUAAUGUGAUUUUGGCUAAAAACCCAAUAAUCACAGUUUAAAGACCACUGAUAACACUUUAAGUAGUAAAAAACAAUCAGAGUGGGACUUUAAAGUGAUUUUUUUCAUAUAUAUUCAGGUGAUUAUACACAAAUUCAAACACACUAAUGCCUGUAAAAUUACAUUUCUGCCAAAUACUGCUAAAUUCUACACACUGUACUUUUAAGUCAUUAUUUUAGGACUGUAAUAUCUUGAAAUCAUUUUAGUUUGGACUUCAGAUCAGUGUCGCUGGAAUUUAGUGAGAUCUAGACUAGAAAUCAGUCAAAUACACUUAAUGGACUUAAUUUAUUGAUAAGUGUAAAAUGAGUUUAGGGUAGAUGAACUGGAUUGGUUUCUCUAACCUCAACCUCAUUUAAGACCUUUGGGAGAAAUUAAAACCCUGACUUCAAGCCAGGCCUUCCAAGAGCGAGCCAGCAUCAGUGCCUGACCUCGCAGAUGCACUUUUAGCUGACCAGGCAGAUACUCCCACGGCUACAAAUUCUCAUGCUUUUGCUCCAUUGUGUUCUGAUAAGCGUUUUCAUUUUGACAAACUGCAGCUGCCUUCGUACUACUGUGACAAUAAUGACUUCAAUAUUUCUUACCAGAGAGAGGAGAGACGCCUUUAAUUUCUUAGUCUGUUUCUUCUUCAAAGGUACAAUAAAAUAAACGCUAAAAUUACAUUAUAUAAAUCCAGCCGUAUUGGAAAGCUAGUUUGCCUUCCUAUAAAUUAAACUGCACAUUCUGAGUGUAAUUCCUGACUGCAAACACACACACACACACACAGGAGUCAGUGUGUACAAGAGCUUCAAACACUGUCUGUAACAAGCUCACAAAUUAGCACAGGCUUUUCAUGUCAUUGAUUUUUUUUCCCCCCCCUUUAAUUGCAGAAGACCCAAGACACAGUGUUGUGCAAAACUGCAGUUUACUGGUAAUGAUUGCAGCGGCCUCGGCUUGUUUGGAUCUUUGUUCAUACUCUUGGGAAUAACCUGCAAUGCAUAAUUAGGAUGAGGCAAUUAUGGAUAAAUGACUCAGGAAGCGGCUUUUAUAAUACCUGCAGGAACAGCUUCAGCUCUUCAGACUGACAAGUGAGGUGACAAUUGAACAGAGAGAGUGAUGUAAUCCGUUUAAUAGUCUCGGUCUCUCUUACUGACGUGAUAUUAAAGAUGAUUGAUGCUGCCCUGAAGCCUCCUCCCCUGGUCUGACCUUCUUCCACUCUUUGGUUAAACUGACACUGAUGUUAAGCGCUGUUCACAGGCGUGAUGACAUCAAGCGGCGUGGAGUCGGGAUCCAGACAGCUGAAAGGAGGGAAACUCGAUUAUUUUGUUUACAUUCCUUCCCAGGUUCAAAAGUUUAAAGGUUGUCACUUGUUGAAAAGCUGCACUAGGAGUUUAUUAGGAGACUUUAGAAGGAGCCUGGAGGGUGACUUCACAGUGACAUUCAGCGAGGCCUUUUGGUUUGAUGGGUAACCUUUGUGCUGGAUGUAAAUAGCUAAUCUCGUUUGGCUAACUAUGCUAACACUUCGGAUUUGUUCAAGUUGAGGUGCUUGCACUCUAAAAACUCUUGGGUUAUUUCUUCAACCCAGUUCAUGGGUUUUACGGGUUGAGUUAAAUUUCUCGGGGUUAUUUUUCAGAUCCAUACCAUUUUUUGGAUCAUAUGGAUUCUAUUGUAACUCAAUUUGAAGGUUAUUUGAAUGGGUUAAUAAUUGUGGGUUAUUUUUCUGCGAGUAACCCAAUAAUUGGGUCAGAACGUUGGGUUCGAUUGACUCUGCAUGGUUUCUAGGCCUAAUGGCAAUUGAAAUGGCCCGGUGACCUUGUAUAUACAUACAUAUGGAGGUAGCUACUCCAAAAUAUAUUGGGUGACUGGGUUAGCUCAGCAGGUAGAGCAUCUGGUUCCCAACCGGGGGGUUUGGGUGCCAAUCCCACAUGAGACAUGGCAUAGACUGUAUGUAGAAUGGACGCCGUCUGCCUCCUUGCUGGGUGAUUCCACUCCGAGAACAGCACCCUCUGUUGACGGGCUGCAGUAUAGGUCAUAAAUCCAGCCUCCGCCAGCAAAGCUUAUGGGGCUGUGGACCAACUUUAGAGAAGCUCCAUUUUUAAAAGUUAUUAGGGGGUUCAUGUUUUCCUUGAUUGACACUUGAUACAGCCUAUUGGCGUACAAGGAUUGCGUAGCUCACCCGGGGUAUAUGCUAUGUGAGCCGAGCGUCAUCACAGCGACUCUCAGCGACUCUGGGCAAUGCUGGUUUCAGGAAAUGAAGAAAAAUCGCAGAAAAAACCGAGAGCUUUUUGGCUCCAAAUCUGUAUACUGGCGGGAGACGGAACCAAGUUGUCCAUAGUAUAUACAGUCAAUGGUCCUUAGGCAAGACCUUAGCGCUAUGGCCCACGAUUGAAUUCACCCUUAAAAAGGGUUAUUGAGUCAACCCAAAAUUUGGGUUAAUUUCAAUAACUCAAAAUUCUGGGUCAAAAUAACCCAAUAAGUAGUCGGUCCUUUUUCAACCCUGGUAUUGGGUAAAAAACAACCCAAGUUGGGUUGAUUCCAAGUUGGGAAUCACUAGUGGCCCUAUGGUACGAUAUUAUCAUGGUACUUGGGCCACGAUACGAUAUUACGGCAAUUUUUAACAUUUUGCAAUACAGUGAGUAUUGCGAUGCAAUAUAUCGCGAUUAUAAUUUUUUUCAACUGUUUAGCUAAUUUAGCAUUUGGCUUUUCUUUAUGUUUGUCUUAAUUACGCUGUAUUUUAUUUUCAGGUAGCACAUCUUGCAAACCUUAAAUAUCUUUGUUGUACUAACUUUCUCCUGCUCUAUGUUGUCACCUCUGCCAACCUCACUGGACAAACAGUUGAUUUUAUGUUUCUAUUAGCAUAAAUUUAACUUUAUAUUAACAAUUAAUUCGAAAAAAAUCGCUACUUGGUAAAUGAGACGAUACGAUAUAUCACCAGACAAAAUAUCGUGGUACUAUGCUAUAUCGAUUUAUAGAUGUUUUUUGUGAGUAUGAAGAAAAUGCAGCUCAAAAACGAGUCUUGCCAACGUCUCUCUCUGAGAAUCUUGUUUGCCAGGUCCGACUGUAGAAAUUGGAUCAAACCCAAGCGGACAUCUGUCUCACUCGCCGCGCUUAUAUAACAAAGGAGUGAACCUGUUUGUUGUUUUUGUUGUGUAAAUUGAUGGUUAAAUAUUCAAGACACAUGAUUUAUGCACCCUCAUUUGAGAUCCUGUUUAACAUCUGCUUAAUUGAAUGCAGUUCAGGGUGUUGGAGUGUACAAAGAGAGAGAUGGAAAAACAUAAAGAAAGAAAAGUUGAUUAUACGUGGAUAGAAUAUGAACUAAAGUCUUAUUUGGGACAUGUUUUACUUACACUCUCACUGAUGCCAGUUUGUUUUGGUUUCUCUCACCUUGACGUCUCAUUUAAACGGAUUGGUGCUGGCACUUGUUUGCCUCAAAAAGGGUCUCGCUCCUCAGUUGGACACGAGUAUCAGCCAGUCAGCCUUUCAUCAGAUUUUUACUCAGCUGGAGGAGUUUGGGCAAGAAAUACAUGCAUGGAUGAAGCCAAACUUGCAAAUCCUCCUCAGGCUAGGCUGGCACUGUGCUGGUCUGUUUGAGGAAAGACACGGAUGCCCCACUAUUUCUACAAAGAUCCAUGAUAGGAGACAGCAAGAUAAUGAUAUAAUAAGACAACAAAACUGUAAGCAUCAUGUAAGCAUCCUUUUGAUAUCUGUUUCUGGAGUUAUUAGCAUUAAAUAUUUACUUGUGUGCAUGUUAGGAAGUUAAAAAAACAUGUUGCAUUGUGUUUUCUCUCACAGGGAUAAAAAAGAUGCACGACCCAGAGUGUAUGCAGCAGCCUCAGUGCCAUAUGCUGCCACCAAAGGCUCCUAUGAGGAGUCUUUUACUCGUACCCUGAGGAUCCGCUGAGAGACAAUGGCUUGUUGUUGGCUGAACAAAUACUUUAUGUGCUGUGACAUCUGCUGACUGAAUGUUCUUCGCUGCCCUCAAACCCCCGUGUUUACAUCUCUGCAUCAUACCUUUCCCUGUCGGAGUGUGUCACGAGCAGUCUGCGCAAAAUGAGGAGUGCGUUUGCAGCCAAAGAGGGCAAGAGUUUGUUUUUAAGGGC
rnacentral:lncRNA from 1 species